rnacentral:rRNA from 1 species
CCUACGGGGGACAGCAGUGAGGAAUAUUGGUCAAUGGACGAGAGUCUGAACCAGCCAAGUAGCGUGAAGGAUGACUGCCCUAUGGGUUGUAAACUUCUUUUAUAUGGGAAUAAAAUGUUCCACGUGUGGGAUUUUGUAUGUACCAUAUGAAUAAGGAUCGGCUAACUCCGUGCCAGCAGCCGCGGUAAUACGGAGGAUCCGAGCGUUAUCCGGAUUUAUUGGGUUUAAAGGGAGCGUAGGUGGAUUGUUAAGUCAGUUGUGAAAGUUUGCGGCUCAACCGUAAAAUUGCAGUUGAAACUGGCAGUCUUGAGUACAGUAGAGGUAGGCGGAAUUCGUGGUGUAGCGGUGAAAUGCUUAGAUAUCACGAAGAACUCCGAUUGCGAAGGCAGUUCACUGGACUGCAACUGACACUGAGGCUCGAAAGUGUGGGUAUCAAACAGGAUUAGAUACCCGUGUAGUC